rnacentral:rRNA from 1 species
AGAAUCAACGCUGGCGGCGUGCCUAACACAUGCAAGUCGAACGAGAAAGUGGAGCAAUCCAUGAGUAAAGUGGCGCACGGGUGAGUAACACGUGACUAACCUACCCUUGAGUGGGGAAUAACUUCGGGAAACCGAGGCUAAUACCGCAUAACACCUACGGGUCAAAGGAGCAAUUCGCUUAAGGAGGGGUCGCGGCAGAUUAGUUAGUUGGCGGGGUAAUGGCCCACCAAGACGGUGAUCUGUAUCCGGCCUGAGAGGGCGCACGGACACACUGGAACUGAAACACGGUCCAGACUCCUACGGGAGGCAGCAGUGGGGAAUUUGCGCAAUGGGGGAAACCCUGACGCAGCAACGCCGCGUGGAGGAUGAAGUCCCUUGGGACGUAAACUCCUUUCGAUCGGGACGAUUAUGACGGUACCGGAAGAAGAACGCCCGGCUAACUUCGCGCCAGCAGCCGC